rnacentral:rRNA from 1 species
AUGGAGGUUGCCUCAUCAAUCCCCGCCAUGGAGGUCGCCGUAUCAGCAGUUGCAAGUGAACUUGUGAGCCGGUUCAUCUCCUUCCUGAUGAGCAAGUACCACUCCUCCAGCCAGGCACAAUCAGAGAACAAGAUGGUGGAGGGGUUGCAACAUCUCCUGAUCAGAGUUGGCACCAUCGUUGAGGAGGCAGAUGCUCGAUACAUAACCAACUUCGGGAUGAUGAUGCAGCUCAAGAUGCUCUCGGAGGCCAUGUACCGAGGUCACAGCCUCCUCGAUACCUUGAGGUAUGGGGCCCUCCAAGACGGUGCAAGCUUUGACGAGGUUAGCAACAGCAACUCAUCUAGCAGCAGUUUGUAUUUACCAAAUCCACUCAAGCGUUGUCGAACAACAGCAGAGAAAGGCAACAAGGCCAUGGGCCUGGAUUCACAUGGUGCUUUGGAAAGCUUAGAAAUUGCUGUAGCAAACAUGUCAGAGUUUGUUGUGCUUCUGGCUGGAUGUGAGCGCAUGUCCCGUAGGCCAUAUGAUGUUUAUCUUUACACCGACAACUUCAUGUUCAGUUCAGCGGACACGCUGAAAAGCAAAAGCUCUUGA